rnacentral:rRNA from 1 species
CCUACGGGAGGCUGCAGUGGGGGAUAUUGCACAAUGGGGGGAACCCUGAUGCAGCGACGCCGCGUGGGUGAAGGAGUGCUUCGGCAUGUAAAGCCCUAUCGGCAGGGAAGAAGCAAGACGGUACCUGACUAAGAAGCCCCGGCUAACUACGUGCCAGCAGCCGCGGUAAUACGUAGGGGGCGAGCGUUAUCCGGCUUCACUGGGUGUAAAGGGAGCGUAGACGGCCAUGCAAGCCAGGGGUGAAAGCCCGGGGCCCAACCCCGGGACUGCCCUUGGAACUGCAUGGCUGGAGUGCGGGAGGGGCAGGCGGAAUUCCUGGUGUAGCGGUGAAAUGCGUAGAUAUCAGGAGGAACACCGGCGGCGAAGGCGGCCUGCUGGACCGCGACUGACGUUGAGGCUCGAAAGCGUGGGGAGUGAACAGGAUUAGAUACCCCUGUAGUC